UUAAGUGACUAAGCGUACACGGUGGAUGCCUGGGCAGUCAGAGGCGAUGAAGGACGUACUAACUUGCGAUAAGCGCAGAUAAGGCAGUAAGAGCCGUUUGAGUCUGCGAUUUCCGAAUGGGGAAACCCAACUGCAUAAGCAGUUACUGUUAACUGAAUACAUAGGUUAACAGAGCAAACCGGGGGAACUGAAACAUCUAAGUACCCCGAGGAGAAGAAAUCAACCGAGAUUCCGGUAGUAGCGGCGAGCGAACCUGGAUUAGCCCUUAAGCACUCGGUGAAGUAGGUGAACAAGCUGGAAAGCUUGGCGAUACAGGGUGAUAGCCCCGUAACCGACGCUUCAUCGAGCGUGAAAUCGAGUAGGGCGGGACACGUGAUAUCCUGUCUGAAUAUGGGGGGACCAUCCUCCAAGGCUAAAUACUCCUGACUGACCGAUAGUGAACCAGUACCGUGAGGGAAAGGCGAAAAGAACCCCUGUGAGGGGAGUGAAAUAGAACCUGAAACCGUGUACGUACAAGCAGUAGGAGCACCUUCGUGGUGUGACUGCGUACCUUUUGUAUAAUGGGUCAGCGACUUAUAUUCAGUGGCAAGGUUAACCGUAUAGGGGAGCCGUAGCGAAAGCGAGUCUUAACUGGGCGCUCAGUCUCUGGAUAUAGACCCGAAACCGGGUGAUCUAGCCAUGGGCAGGUUGAAGGUUGAGUAACAUCAACUGGAGGACCGAACCGACUAAUGUUGAAAAAUUAGCGGAUGACUUGUGGCUAGGGGUGAAAGGCCAAUCAAACUCGGAGAUAGCUGGUUCUCCCCGAAAGCUAUUUAGGUAGCGCCUCGGACGAAUACUACUGGGGGUAGAGCACUGUUAAGGCUAGGGGGUCAUCCCGACUUACCAACCCUUUGCAAACUCCGAAUACCAGUAAGUACUAUCCGGGAGACACACGGCGGGUGCUAACGUCCGUCGUGGAGAGGGAAACAACCCAGACCGCCAGCUAAGGUCCCAAAGUAUUGCUAAGUGGGAAACGAUGUGGGAAGGCUCAGACAGCUAGGAUGUUGGCUUAGAAGCAGCCAUCAUUUAAAGAAAGCGUAAUAGCUCACUAGUCGAGUCGGCCUGCGCGGAAGAUGUAACGGGGCUAAGCAAUACACCGAAGCUGCGGCAAUGUCUUUUAGACAUUGGGUAGGGGAGCGUUCUGUAAGCCGUUGAAGGUGAAUCGUAAGGUUUGCUGGAGGUAUCAGAAGUGCGAAUGCUGACAUGAGUAACGACAAAGGGGGUGAAAAACCUCCUCGCCGGAAGACCAAGGGUUCCUGUCCAACGUUAAUCGGGGCAGGGUGAGUCGACCCCUAAGGUGAGGCCGAAAGGCGUAAUCGAUGGGAAACGGGUUAAUAUUCCCGUACUUCUGACUAUUGCGAUGGGGGGACGGAGAAGGCUAGGUGGGCCAGGCGACGGUUGUCCUGGUUCAAGUGCGUAGGCUUGAGAGUUAGGUAAAUCCGGCUCUCUCUAAGGCUGAGACACGACGUCGAGCUGCUACGGCAGUGAAGUCAUUGAUGCCAUGCUUCCAGGAAAAGCCUCUAAGCUUCAGAUAGUCAGGAAUCGUACCCCAAACCGACACAGGUGGUCGGGUAGAGAAUACCAAGGCGCUUGAGAGAACUCGGGUGAAGGAACUAGGCAAAAUGGUACCGUAACUUCGGGAGAAGGUACGCUCUUGAUGGUGAAGUCCCUCGCGGAUGGAGCUGACGAGAGUCGCAGAUACCAGGUGGCUGCAACUGUUUAUUAAAAACACAGCACUGUGCAAAAUCGCAAGAUGACGUAUACGGUGUGACGCCUGCCCGGUGCCGGAAGGUUAAUUGAUGGGGUUAGCGUAAGCGAAGCUCUUGAUCGAAGCCCCGGUAAACGGCGGCCGUAACUAUAACGGUCCUAAGGUAGCGAAAUUCCUUGUCGGGUAAGUUCCGACCUGCACGAAUGGCGUAAUGAUGGCCACGCUGUCUCCACCCGAGACUCAGUGAAAUUGAAAUCGCUGUGAAGAUGCAGUGUACCCGCGGCUAGACGGAAAGACCCCGUGAACCUUUACUACAGCUUGGCACUGAACAUUGAACCUACAUGUGUAGGAUAGGUGGGAGGCUAUGAAGACGUGACGCCAGUUGCGUUGGAGCCGUCCUUGAAAUACCACCCUUGUAUGUUUGAUGUUCUAACCU
rnacentral:rRNA from 1 species